rnacentral:rRNA from 1 species
UACAGAGGUCUCAAGCGUUGUUCGGAUUCACUGGGCGUAAAGGGUGCGCAGGUGGCUGGGUAAGUUUGAUGUGAAAGCCCCGGGCUUAACCCGGGAACGGCAUUGAAUACUAUUCGGCUGGAGGAUUGGAGGGGGACUGGAAUUCUUGGUGUAGCAGUGAAAUGCGUAGAUAUCAAGAGGAACACCAGUGGCGAAGGCGAGUCCCUGGACAAUUCCUGACACUGAGGCACGAAAGCCAAGGGAGCAAACAGG